CCUACGGGAGGCAGCAGUGGGGAAUAUUGGGCAAUGGGCGCAAGCCUGACCCAGCAACGCCGCGUGAAGGAAGAAGGCUUUCGGGUUGUAAACUUCUUUUGUCAGGGACGAAGCAAGUGACGGUACCGGACGAAUAAGCCACGGCUAACUACGGGCCAGCAGCCGCGGCAAGACGUAGGUGGCAAGCGUGAUGCGGAUUGACUGGGUGUAAAGGGCGUGUAGGCGGGACUGCAAGUCAGAUGGGAAAACCACGGGCUCAACCUGUGGCCUGCAUUUGAAACUGUAGUUCUUGAGUACUGGAGAGGCAGCCGGAAUUCCUAGUGUAGCGGUGACAUGCGUAGAUAUUAGGAGGACCACCAGUGGCGAAGGCGGUCUGCUGGACCGCCACUGACGCUGAGGCGCGAAAGCGUGGGGAGCACACCGGAUUAGCUACCCCAGUAGUC
rnacentral:rRNA from 1 species